CCAGCAGCCGCGGUAAUUCCAGCUCCAAUAGCGUAUAUUAAAGUUGUUGCAGUUAAAAAGCUCGUAGUUGAAUUUCUGGGAGGUAUGCGCGUCGCGGUUGAAUGCCGCGUUCGUGUGGUUCCUCCCAUCCUCGCAGGGAAGGCUUUGGCCUUAUUUGGUCAGAGUUCGGAACUGCGUCAUUUACUGUGAAAAAAUUAGAGUGUUUAAAGCAGGCGUUUUCGCUUGAAUACAUUAGCAUGGAAUAAUAAGAUAGGACUUCGGUCUAUUUUGUUGGUUGCGGCCCGAGGUAAUGAUUAAUAGGGAUAGUUGGGGGUAUUCAUAUUUAAUUGUCAGAGGUGAAAUUC
rnacentral:rRNA from 1 species